ensembl:snRNA U6 U6 spliceosomal RNA
GAACUCACUUCAGCAGCACAUAUACUAAAAUUGAAACAGUACAAAGAACAUCAUGGCCCCUGCACAAGGAUGACACACAAAUUUGUGAAGCAUUCCAUAUUAAA